rnacentral:rRNA from 1 species
GCGUCGUUUGCGACGCCCAACACACAAAACAAGCGGUGAGUGCUUUGGGGUGGGGUGACUGCGUACCUUUUGUAUAAUGGGUCAGCGACUUAUAUUCUGUAGCAAGGUUAACCGUAUAGGGGAGCCGUAGGGAAACCGAGUCUUAACCGGGCGUUAAGUUGCAGGGUAUAGACCCGAAACCCGGUGAUCUAGCCAUGGGCAGGUUGAAGGUUGGGUAACACGAACUGGAGGACCGAACCGACUAAUGUUGAAAAA